rnacentral:rRNA from 1 species
CCUACGGGUGGCUGCAGUGGGGAAUAUUGGACGAUGGGCGAAAGCCUGAUCCAGCCAUGCCGCGUGUGUGAAGAAGGCCUUCGGGUUGUAAAGCACUUUCAGUGGGGAAGAAAGCCUUGGGGCUAAUACCCUCGAGGAAGGACAUCACCCACAGAAGAAGCACCGGCUAACUCCGUGCCAGCAGCCGCGGUAAUACGGAGGGUGCGAGCGUUAAUCGGAAUUACUGGGCGUAAAGCGCGCGUAGGCGGUCUGAUAAGCCGGUUGUGAAAGCCCCGGGCUCAACCUGGGAACGGCAUCCGGAACUGUCAGGCUAGAGUUCAGGAGAGGAAGGUAGAAUUCCCGGUGUAGCGGUGAAAUGCGUAGAGAUCGGGAGGAAUACCAGUGGCGAAGGCGGCCUUCUGGACUGACACUGACGCUGAGGUGCGAAAGCGUGGGUAGCAAACAGGAUUAGAUACCCCUGUAGUC